rnacentral:rRNA from 1 species
AUGUCUGGCACCGGCGCCUCCACCACCUCCUCCCUCACCUCCCCCUCCCUACCCGCCUCCCACUCCACCACCACCGGCGCCCUCAUCAACUCCACCAUGCCCGCCUCCGCCUCGCCGGCUGUGCAAGUCGCCAGUGUGCGCACCCACGUGCCCGUCACGCUGGAUCUCAACACCUCCAACUUCGCCAAGUGGCGGAUGCUCAUCCGCGUCCUCCUCGGCAAGUACGACUUGCUGUCCCACAUCACCACCGUCACACCCGCGGCGGACCGCACGCCGGACUGGACCCGCGAGGACUACGUCGUCCGGUCCUGGCUGUACAGGUCUAUCUCCGACGAGAUCCUUGAUCUGAUCAUGGCGGAAGAUCAGACAGCGCAUGAGGCUUGGAAUCUCAUCUCCAACUUGUUUCUGGAUAACCGGAUGACGUGCGCGGUCUACCUCGAGGCCGAGUUCCGCGGCCUCGUCCAAGGCGAUCUCUCGGUCACCGCGUACUGCCAUCGCCUGAAGGCCCUCUCCGACGCCCUCGCCGACGUCGGCACCCCGGUCACAGACCAAACCCUCGUCCUCAAGUGCCUUCGCGGGCUCAACCCGCGGUUCGCCGACAUCACCACGAUCGUGACCAUGCAGAACCCGCUUCCGACGUUCGGGCAGAUGCGCUCUCUGCUGGUUCUUCGCGAGACUCAGCUCGCCAACACCUCCGCCGUGGCCAACCAGACCGCCCUGUACGGCGGCCACUCUUCCCAGGGCUCCGGUCCCAGCAGCGCCAACUCCAACCGCGGCGACGGAAACCGUGGUGGCGGCAACUCCGGUGGUGGCGGGAACUCCGGUGGUGGCGGCAACUGCAACGGCGGAAACUGGCGCAAGAAGCGACAAGGCGGCGGCUCCGGCGGCUCCCGCGUCGGUGCAGGCGGUCAACCUGCGAUCCGGGCUAGGCGCAAAGCCCGAACCAACGAGGGGCUACCUCCGGAUGAUGUAGAUCUAGAGGAGGAGGAGGAUGUGGGGGACGCUGGCGUCACGGAUCUGCAGGCGGAGCUGCAGGGCAUCCUCGAUUCCCUCCGCUCGGAGUUGGCUGCGGAGGCCAGACGCCAUCUCCGGCAGGAGAAUGAGGCGCAGCCGUCCGCGAAGGAGGCAGAGAUGCUCAUACAUGGAUGA